AUUGAACGCUGGCGGAAUGCUUUACACAUGCAAGUCGAACGGCAGCACGGGUGCUUGCACCUGGUGGCGAGUGGCGAACGGGUGAGUAAUGCACCGGAACGUAUCUAAUAAUGGGGGAUAACGCACCGAAAGGUGUGCUAAUACCGCAUACGCCCUGAGGGGGAAAGCGGGGGAUCGUAAGACCUCGCGUUAAUGGAGCGGCCGAUGCCGGAUUAGCUAGUUGGUGAGGUAAAGGCUCACCAAGGCGACGAUCCGUAGCUGGUCUGAGAGGACGACCAGCCACACUGGAACUGAGACACGGUCCAGACUCCUACGGGAGGCAGCAGUGGGGAAUUUUGGGCAAUGGGCGCAAGCCUGAUCCAGCCAUUCCGCGUGAGUGAAGAAGGCC
rnacentral:rRNA from 1 species